UACGGAGGGUGCGAACGUUGCUCGGAAUCAUUGGGCGUAAAGCGUAUGUAGGCGGCUCGUUAAGUCGGGUGUGAAAUCCCUGGGCUCAACCCAGGAACUGCAUUCGAUACUGGCAGGCUUGAGUACAGGAGAGGGUGGCGGAAUUCCCGGUGUAGAGGUGAAAUUCGUAGAUAUCGGGAGGAACACCUGUGGCGAAGGCGGCCACCUGGACUGAUACUGACGCUGAGUAUACGAAAGCGUGGGGAGCAAACAGG
rnacentral:rRNA from 1 species